CUCGUUGUUUACCAACACUUCGCAUAUUAAAUGUAUUUGUUUGGGAUGUAUGGGGGUACGUAUUUGUUUGUCAACGUUUGAUAAGCUACCAUUGGUCAAAUUCAACGGAAGACUUUGACAAGACGACGAUGUUGCAGUGUAACUUGCAGAUCUAUGCAGAAGGCCUGUCUAGGUUAGUACAGUAGUAGCCAUAGUGGAACAUGAAAAGAACGUAUUAGACUCGGUGAAACCUACCAAAUAGGUGAUGUGAUGGUGUACAUAUAUGACAUGCUUUGGUCAUGUUGGUCUGAAUGGUUUGCUAUUAAACUAUGGACAGGACAGUGGUAUCAUCUGUGAAUGACUGACUAUGCUGAUUAUGUCAAAGCUAUGGAAUAUUUCUACAUAAAUGAUCAUCAUACUCAUCAAAGACACAACAGAAUACGAUAUAUGCGACCAAAAAUGACCAAGACAAAAGAAAAAUGUUAUAUGGGGAUAUAGGAAGUGGAUCAUCCAUUUUCCUUGUCUUUCCCUCGAGGUCUUCAGACAGUGUCUCUAUACAUCAUUAACCAUGUUGAUUAGCUCUCAUGAUGUCAUGCCAUUACUGCCAGAUUACCUGUAAUACUGCCA